CCUACGGGUGGCAGCAGUGAGGAAUAUUGGUCAAUGGGCGGAAGCCUGAACCAGCCAAGUCGCGUGAGGGAUUAAGGCCCUGCGGGUCGUAAACCUCUUUUGCCGGGGAGCAGUGGUCCGGACGCGUCCGGACCGGGAGAGUACCCGGAGACAAAGCAUCGGCUAACUCCGUGCCAGUAGCCGCGGUAAUACGGAGGAUGCGAGCGUUAUCCGGAUUUAUUGGGUUUAACGGGUGCGCAGGCGGAAGAUCAAGUCAGCGGUAAAAUUGAGAGGCUCAACCUCUUCGAGCAGUUGAAACUGGUUUUCUUGAGUGAGCGAGAAGUAUGCGGAAUGCGAGGUGUAGCGGUGAAAUGCAUAGAUAUCACGAAGAACACCGAUUGCGAAGGCAGCAUACCGGAGCUCAACUGACGCUCAUGCACGAAAGUGUGGGUAUCGAACAGGAUUAGAUACCCCUGUAGUC
rnacentral:rRNA from 1 species